rnacentral:miRNA from 2 species
AGUUCUCCGCUUCACUUACAG